UGCAAAUGUUUAUUUCUGGCAACACUAUCCUGAUGCUGUCAGAGUAUGUGGUAAAGCUCCAGCAUCAGUGAUUUUGUUGUUAGUGGUAAAUUCAA
rnacentral:pre_miRNA from 5 species